GGGAGAAAUGAUGAUUCAAUUCCAUAGUUUUUUUUUUCUCUGCAAGUCAGAUGAUGAAUUAUCACAAAACAUGCACUACCAUCUGAUCUCCC
rfam:Musa acuminata subsp. malaccensis Doubled-haploid Pahang (DH-Pahang) genomic chromosome, chr5